rnacentral:rRNA from 1 species
UAAAGUGGCGUACGGGUGAGUAACACGUGGAUCAUCUACCUCUUGGCGGGGGAAUAACCCUGGGAAACCGGGGCUAAUACCGCAUAAGCCUGCAAAGGGAAAGCGACGUCUUAAAAACGACGCACCGAGAGAGGAGUCCGCGGCCGAUUAGCUUGUUGGUAGGGUAAUGGCCUACCAAGGCAAUGAUCGGUAGCCGGCCUGAGAGGGCACACGGCCACACUGGCACUGAAACACGGGCCAG